rnacentral:rRNA from 1 species
UACAGAGGGUGCAAGCGUUGUUCGGAAUUAUUGGGCGUAAAGAGCUCGUAGGCGGCUUGGCAAGUCGGGUGUGAAAACUCCAGGCUCAACCUGGAGACGCCACCCGAUACUGCCAUGGCUAGAGUCCGGUAGGGGACCACGGAAUUCCUGGUGUAGCGGUGAAAUGCGCAGAUAUCAGGAGGAACACCUGUGGCGAAAGCGGCUCACUGGACCAUAACUGACGCUGAUGCACGAAAGCUAGGGGAGCAAACAGG